GGGCAGGUACCAGAGUGGCCAAAUGGGACGGACUGUAAAUCCGUUGAUGUAAUGUCUUCGAGUGUUCGAAUCACUCCCUGCCCACCA
rnacentral:tRNA from 1 species